rnacentral:misc_RNA from 1 species
UUCAUUAAUUACUCGAGUUGUGUACUUGAGUUUCUUCAUGUCUUCUAUAGUUGGAAAUCGAUCUCCUAGAACAGAAUCAACCUCAUUUUGGAGCUUGGACAUGACACUUGGCUCCUGCAGCCAUUACGAAGGAAAAUGGUUAAAAAAUUUACUAAGCAGCCGCUAUUCCAAGAGCACAAAUAUGAAUAUUAAUGUGCCUUUCUGUGUUAGAAUAACGUGUGCAUACAUUAAAAUGAAUGUGGAAGUCACAUAAUUCACAAAUUAUUCGUAUUUCUACCAAGAGGAGAGAGAAGAGGACAGGAAGAGAAGCUGAGGAUGAAAUAGAAGAAUUCUGUGCAAGAUUAGCAUAAAGUAAAAUAGCUUCUGCAUUGCUGAACCUUGACUCUGCAUUA